rnacentral:rRNA from 1 species
AUCUUAUAAAAUUACUCUUAGUUCGGAUUGAAAUCUGCAACUCGAUUUCAUGAAGUAGGAAUCGCUAGUAAUCGUAAAUCAGAAUGUUACGGUGAAUACGUUCUCGAGCCUUGUACACACCGCCCGUCACACCAUGGAAGUAAAUUGUAUCAUAAGUAAUUUUAUUAUUAUUAAGGUAUGAUUUGUAACUGGGGUGAAGUCGUAACAAGGUA